ensembl:snRNA U6 U6 spliceosomal RNA
GUGUUUACGUUGGCACCACAUAUAAUAAAAGUAGAAUCAUAGAGAGAUGAUUACCAUGACCCCGUCAAAGAAGAACAUGCAAUUAUGUGAAGUAGUCCAUAUUUUU